UGCCAUAGAGCUCCAUUGUGACUCCAUAAAAGUUCCACUCUUAUACCAUAAUAGCUCCAUUAUGACCCCAUAGAUCUCCAUAUUGACCCCGUAAAAGUUCACUUAUGACCGUAUGGAGCACCAGAGUGAGCUCAUGACAGUUCCAUUAUGACCCCAUAAGAGCUCCGUGGUGACCGCAUAACAGUUGCAUUUAAACCUCUUAUAGCUCAGUAGUGACUCUAUGACAUUGCCAUUGUGACCCCAUGGAGCCCCAGUGUUACCCCAUAACAGCUUCUUUAUGAUGCCGUAGAGCUUCAUCGUUUUCCUAUAGGAUCUCCAUAAUAACCUCAUGGAACCAUAGAUUUUCCAUAACAUUUCCAUAACUAUUAUGACCCCUUAGAGCUGCAUAGUGACCCCUGAAGAGCUCCUUAAUGACGCUAUAUAGAUUUCAUUCUGACCCCAUAACAGCUGCGUUAUGACCCCUCAAGUGUUCCUAUAGUGAUUCCAUAACGGCUCCAUAGUGACGUCGUACCAGUGCUAUUGUAACCCCAUAGAGCUUCAUAUGGCUUCAUGGCCCCAUAGGGCUGCACAGGGCGCUGUAUCUGUCUAGGUUUGCACGUCUGCUGGACCGAAGGUGUUCUGAGCAGCACUGCAGGCAGCAGGAGGUUGAAAGCCUUCAAGGCCGCCUUGCUGGAGGUCUUCAAGUCUUCCCACGCUCAGUCUGUGGGCCUGAAGAACGUGAUGGAGGCCAUCAACCGCGACAACCCUGAGCCCUUCUCGCUCGCCGAAGUGAAGGUGGCAUUGGCCCACAUGCAAGACGACAACCAGAUCAUGGUGUCUGACGACAUCAUCUUCCUAAUCUGAGCCUCUAAGAGCCCAAAUUCUCAUGGGGCUUUUCAAUCUGGAAACUCGUUGUGUUUACCUUCACCUCUCUCCUGAAUGCUUCAUCAUCAUCUGGCUGAGCUGGACUUUGGGAAGCACUUUGCAUUGCUGGCACUGAAGGAGCCAGGAAAAGUGGAAGCUCUCUCCUUUGCCAAACUGGAGUAUUAGGGAAGAAGUUUGGUUCUGCGAGUAGUCAAAGGGAAGAAUGUGUGUGCAAGUUACUGAUCUGCUUGAUGUGCUUUUAGCUCUGACCUGGGUUAUGUGCAAGCUCAGGUUGGUUUUACUCAAAACUAGUUUGUUUUCAUGCUGCAGGGCUCCCAGUUGCUUCCCAGGCUGGGAGGAGCCUCUUCCCUCCCAGCUUUUCUUACUGUUUAAUUAAAAGAAAAACAUGGGUUUAAGCAUUCAACAGCAGUGCUUGUAAGAAGCAAACAUAGGGGGGAGAAAGGAAGGGAUGGGGGGGAAGUUGGGGAUGGGAUUUUCCUACAGUUCAGCACGCCCCCAUGGCCAGGGAGGGUUUUCAAGAAGAGCUGAAAUCACAGGUUAACCUGCAGCCAGAGCUGGUGAAGGCUUGGGAUGUUAAAAUUCCAUUAUUUUAUGGUUUUUUAUUUUGGUGAAUUUGAGGUUAAGCUUUGGGGGAGGCCCUGAGCAGCACAGGCUCCUUCUUUUGUCCUUGCCAGGAUGUCUGCACCACUCAAGUGCCCUUAUGUGUGUCGGUGAUACCAUCCAUGUUAACUUGCAUAAUAAAACAUCUGAUACCAUU